UACAGAGGUCUCAAGCGUUGUUCGGAUUCAUUGGCGUAAAGGGUGCGUAGGUGGCGCCGUAAGUCAGGUGUGAAAUUUCGGAGCUUAACUCCGAAACUGCAUUUGAUACUGCGGUGCUUGAGGACUGGAGAGGAGACUGGAAUUUACGGUGUAGCAGUGAAAUGCGUAGAGAUCGUAAGGAAGACCAGUGGCGAAGGCGGGUCUCUGGACAGUUCCUGACACUGAGGCACGAAGGCCAGGGGAGCAAACGGG
rnacentral:rRNA from 1 species